rnacentral:rRNA from 1 species
GCAGCAGCCACGGGAAUACGGAGGGUGCAAGCGUUAAUCGGAAUUACUGGGCGAAAAGCGUGCGUAGGCGGUUUGUUAAGUCUGCUGUGAAAUCCCCGGGCUCAACCUGGGAAUGGCAGUGGAUACUGGCAAGCUAGAGUGUGUCAGAGGAUGGUGGAAUUCCCGGUGUAGCGGUGAAAUGCGUAGAGAUCGGGAGGAACAUCAGUGGCGAAGGCGGCCAUCUGGGACAACACUGACGCUGAGGCACGAAAGCGUGGGGAGCAAACAGGAUUAGAGACCCCCGUAGUCCCUGUCUCUUAUAC